GUAAACGAGUAAAAAACGCUGUGCAGUCACGUCUCCGGUUCUUUCUGCGCAUGCUCCAAACUUAAUGGUAUAAUAUGUGUUUUAUAGCAUAAUGAUGCAAACAUAACAGUAUUUACAUUCAUCACAUUACUGUGCUGGAAAACAAUACAAAUUAAAUAAAAAAGAAGAAGAAGUGUAGAUGAAGAAAAGCGGGACAAAGACAGAGCCCUGAUGAAGUCUGAUGACCUGAAGAGGGUGGAGCUGAGACUUCAGGCAGCAGACGGACUUCUGAGGAGGAACAUCAGCACCACACGAGAGGUGGCAACAGGAUGGGGGCAGGUCAUGACAUGGAAAGGAGACUCUCUGCUUGCAGGCUUCCUGUGAUGUAGCUUCCUGUGUUUGACUGUGUUUUUAAACAAACUUUACUAUUUAUCUCUCCUUUUUUCCUCUUUUAAUAAUCCUAAAUUGUUUUUGUCUUCCUGUCUUGUGCCUGUAGUUAGUUAACUCAACUAUCACUAGUGUUGAUUAUAUUCAUUCCCACUGUAUCACAUCACUGUAUCUUAACUCUAUUUGCUGUUAUAAGCACUAUGCCGGCUGUGAGUCUGCCUUUGAGCACAGGUGAGGACUCGUUCGAGUUGCAAACGGUGGAGUUGGAGAUGGAGGCUUUGGAGAAACAGGCAAAGCAUG